rnacentral:rRNA from 1 species
UGGGGAAUUUUGGACAAUGGGCGCAAGCCUGAUCCAGCCAUGCCGCGUGAGUGAAGAAGGCCUUCGGGUUGUAAAGCUCUUUCGGCCGGGAAGAAAUCGUGUUCUCUAACAUAGGACAUGGAUGACGGUACCGGACUAAGAAGCACCGGCUAACUACGUGCCAGCAGCCGCGGUAAUACGUAGGGUGCGAGCGUUAAUCGGAAUUACUGGGCGUAAAGCGUGCGCAGGCGGUUUUGUAAGACAGAUGUGAAAUCCCCGGGCUUAACCUGGGAACUGCGUUUGUGACUGCAAGGCUGGAGUACGGCAGAGGGGGGUGGAAUUCCACGUGUAGCAGUGAAAUGCGUAGAGAUGUGGAGGAACACCGAUGGCGAAGGCAGCCCCCUGGGCCUGUACUGACGCUCAUGCACGAAAGCGUGGGGAGCAAACA